AGCGAACGCUGGCGGCAGGCCUAACACAUGCAAGUCGAACGAAGUCAUCGGACUUAGUGGCGGACGGGUGAGUAACACGUGGGAACGUGCCUUUAGGUACGGAAUAACUCAGGGAAACUUGUGCUAAUCCCGAAUGUGCCCUUCGGGGUAAAGAUUAAUCGCUUUUAGAGCGGCCCGCGUCUGAUUAGCUAGUUGGUGAGGUAAAGGCUCACCAAGGCGACGAUCAGUAGCUGGUCUGAGAGGAUGAUCAGCCACAUUGGGACUGAGACACGGCCCAAACUCCUACGGGAGGCAGCAGUGGGGAAUCUUGCGCAAUGGGCGAAAGCCUGACGCAGCCAUGCCGCGUGAAUGAUGAAGGUCUUAGGAUUGUAAAAUUCUUUCACCGGGGACGAUAAUGACGGUACCCGGAGAAGAAGCCCCGGCUAACUUCGUGCCAGCAGCCGCAGUAAAAC
rnacentral:rRNA from 1 species